CCCUUAGAUGUUCUGGGCUGCACGCGCGCUACACUGAUGCGCUCAACGAGUUUUAACCUUGCCUGGAAAGGUUGGGUAAUCUUUUUAAAACGCAUCGUGAUGGGGAUAGAUUAUUGCAAUUAUUAAUCUUCAACGAGGAAUUCCUAGUAAGCGCGAGUCAUCAGCUCGUGCUGAUUACGUCCCUGCCCUUUGUACACACCGCCCGUCGCUCCUACCUAUUGAGUGAUCCGGUGAAUAAUUCGGACUGCGGCAUUGACCGGUUCCCGAUCGUUGCUGCGGAAAGUUUAGUGAACCUUAUCACUUAGAGGAAGGAGAAGUCGUAACA
rnacentral:rRNA from 1 species